rnacentral:tRNA from 1 species
GCCGGGGUGGCGGAAUUGGUAGACGCGGCGGAUUCAAAAUCCGCUGGUGGUGACAUCAUGUCGGUUCGAGUCCGACCCUCGGUACCA